CCCUAGCCCUGAUGGGAGCGGCAUCCUUUUAUGGCGGGGUUCGCCAUAAAAGAUAUAGUGUACAGCAGGAAAUAGC
rnacentral:sRNA from 2 species